rnacentral:sRNA from 1 species
GCCGCCAGCUAUCUCUAAACUCUCCACGGUCCCUGAACCGAGCACCCCUACCACCUCUUCGGCGACCACGGCUUCCAUAUUCCGGGCCUCUGUCCACGAAAUAAUUUGUAUCUUCGAAAGUGUAUUUGCGCAUCUCAUCACCUCCUCGUCGAGACGGAGGCCUGGCGCGGUCGAGGCUGGCAAAUCGAUCAAGGCGCUUCUCCGCGACUUUUUGUGGAACGGGGAGAUAGUAAAGUUUCGGCUUUGCAGCGGUGGAAAGGAAUCUGUCAUCAAGGGCUUUAAAACCUUCACCCCCGUACCGUACUGGUGGGGCGGGUGGUGCAACAGGACGACUAUCUCGAUGUACAGGACCGUGUGUCGCACGUGGGCCCAACGGCGGCUCUCGACAUACGUUUUGAUCG